CUGUUUGAGAACGCAAUAAUUGGGCAUUUCGCAACCAGGGCAGUUUCAGGGCAGUUUUGGCCUUGUUGUUGGGAAAUCAACUAGGCCUUCUAGGCUUGUUUCCUCCGCCCCGCCCCCAAAUCACCUAGUCCCAGUCUUUUCAUGUGAAAAACCGCUGAAUACUAAAAAAUAUAAAUAAGACUAGAAGGCCUAGGUCUAGGCUGGGUUUACUAUAUAGUGUAUAAAUUAUAAAAGCAAUUCAGUUCGUCAGAUAAUGCGUCCCAAGCAAACCACGAGGGUAAGUAUGGUUAUAACUUUGAAUUUUGGUGCGUGAAUAGUUGAUGGUUAAGUGAAACGACCCUUAUACAUGUUAAGAUUAUAGACAAUAAUAUAUAUUAAGACAAAUGACCCCUGACUAAUGAAUAAUACAAUUACCACAUGUGCAGUGGACAUAAAUUAAACAUGAUGCAUAAGACUACUUCUGUAUUUAGACAAAGGUGAAUGUGCCCAAGGAUUUAAAAGUCUGUCUCUUGAAAUGUCUAUUCUCUUGCUUUCCACCAUAUGCCUUGGUUCAACAUGAUUCAAGCGUUCU
rnacentral:lncRNA from 1 species